ACGCACGCUGGCGGCGUGCUUAACACAUGCAAGUCGAACGCUGAAGCACCAGCUUGCUGGUGUGGAUGAGUGGCGAACGGGUGAGUAAUACGUGAGUAACCUGCCCUUGACUCUGGGAUAAACCCGGGAAACUGGGUCUAAUACUGGAUGCUACAUGUCACCGCAUGGUGGUGUGUGGAAAGGGUUUACUGGUCUUGGAUGGGCUCACGGCCUAUCAGCUUGUUGGUGAGGUAAUGGCUCACCAAGGCGACGACGGGUAGCCGGCCUGAGAGGGUGACCGGCCACACUGGGACUGAGACACGGCCCAGACUCCUACGGGAGGCAGCAGUGGGGAAGAUUGCACAAUGGGCGAAAGCCUGAUGCAGCGACGCCGCGUGAGGGAUGACGGCCUUCGGGUUGUAAACCUCUUUCAGCAGGGAAGAAGCCACAAGUGACGGUACCUGCAGAAGAAGCGCCGGCUAACUACGUG
rnacentral:rRNA from 1 species